UACGGAGGGUGCGAGCGUUGUCCGGAAUUAUUGGGCGUAAAGGGCGCGUAGGCGGUGUGGCAAGUCAGGUGUGAAACCUCCAGGCUUAACUUGGAGCUUGCAUCUGAAACUGCCGUGCUAGAGUGCGGGAGAGGAGAGUGGAAUUCCUGGUGUAGCGGUGAAAUGCGUAGAUAUCAGGAGGAACACCGGUGGCGAAGGCGGCUCUCUGGACCGCAACUGACGCUGAGGCGCGAAAGCUAGGGGAGCAAACAGG
rnacentral:rRNA from 1 species